AUUGAACGCUGGCGGCUUGCCUAACACAUGCAAGUCGAACGGCGCCACGGGGCUUUCCCCCGGGUGCCGAUUGGCGACCGGGUGAGAAUUCAGUGGGACCAUGUCCUGUGUGGGGGGUAAGCCGGCCGAAAGCGGGUUAAUUCCCCCAACCGACUUACGUUCAAAGCCGGGGGCCCUUCGGCCUGCCGGCUUUUGGGUGGGCGCUGGCUGGUUAUGUUGGUGGUGGGGUAAAGGUGCACCAAGGCGACGAUCCGGAGCGGGUUUGAGAGGACGACCAGCCAGACUGGGACGGAGACACGGCCCAGACUCCUACGGGAGGCAGCAGUGGGGAAUUUUGGACAAAGGGCGAAAGCCUGAUCCAGCAAUGCCGCGUGUGUGAAGAAGGCCUUCGGGUUGUAAAGCACUUUUGUCCGGAAAGAAAUCCUUGGCCCUAAUACGGUCGGGGGAUGACGGUACCGGAAGAAUAAGCACCGGCUAACUACGUG
rnacentral:rRNA from 1 species